rnacentral:rRNA from 1 species
UACGAAGGGGGCUAGCGUUGCUCGGAAUUACUGGGCGUAAAGCGCACGUAGGCGGAUUGUUAAGUCGGGGGUGAAAUCCUGGAGCUCAACUCCAGAACUGCCUUCGAUACUGGCGAUCUCGAGUUCGGGAGAGGUGAGUGGAACUGCGAGUGUAGAGGUGAAAUUCGUAGAUAUUCGCAAGAACACCAGUGGCGAAGGCGACUCACUGGCCCAUUACUGACGCUGAGGCUCGAAAGCGUGGGGAGCAAACAGG